UUUUUUUAUUUUUGAUUGUUUGAUUUAAAAAGGAGAAAUUUUUGAAAUAAAAUAUGGGUUAUGUAAAAUAUUUUUUUUGCCUUUUGUAUAAUGAUUUUUAGAUUACUUAAAAAAAAUUUUUUAUAUUCGAAAUAAAAAGGUAAGAUGUGUUAUUAUUUAAUUUUUGUUGAAGUAAAAAUUAAAAUUCAUCGGUUUAGAAAUUAAAAUCGAAUUUUAUGUUAUAUAAUUAGUUCUAUAAAUAAAUAUAUUCCUUUGGGGACAGCUCAAAGGAGAUAAAAAAAAAAAAAACCAAAAAAAACCAACAAAAAAGUGUUAAAUGUGUUAAUAAAAGGUAUUAAAAUAAGAAUUAGUGUAAUUAUUAAAGAAUAAGUAUGUUAAAAAUAAUUAAUAAUAUAUUAUUAUUAGGUAAAUAUUAAAAUUUAUUAAGGGAUUCGACAAAUAUUAAUGGGUAAAAGUUUACUAAAUUCUGAGUUGAUUGAGUACAAAUGAUCAAUGGUGUCUGCUCAAUGUUUAUUAUUAAUAGCAGUUUUAUUUAAAGUAGCGUAGUAAUUUGUCUAUUAAUUGUAGUCUAGUGAAGGGCGUUUAUUCUAAUCUAUCUUAAUGAAUUUAACAAAAAUUCCUUAAAGGUGAAAAUGCCUGGUUUUUAAAAAAAGAGAAAAAGACCCUAGGUAGUUUAAUGUAAUUGUAAUUAUUUAUGAGGAGUUUUGCUGGGGAAGUGUUUCUUAAUUUUAAUAAGAAAAGUAAUUUUUUUAGUUCAAAAGAAUUAUGAAAAUUUAAGUACUAACCCUAGGGAUAACAGCGCAAUAAAACUAGGAGAGUUCAUAUUAAUUAGUUAGUUUACGACCUCGAUGUCGACUUAAGAUUAUUUAAGGUGCAGAAAUUUUAAAAUUUAUGUUUGUUCACCAAUUUAAAUCUUACGUGAGUUGGGUUAAGAACGGGGCAAACUUAGUUUGGAUUUUUUCUUUUAUUAAUUUAUGUUUAAUAGUACGAAAGGAAUUUAUACGAUUUUUG
rnacentral:rRNA from 1 species